GAUGAAGAACGUAGCGAAAUGCGAUACUUGGUGUGAAUUGCAGAAUCCCGUGAACCAUCGAGUCUUUGAACGCAAGUUGCGCCCGAAGCCAUUAGGCCGAGGGCACGCCUGCCUGGGCGUCACACGUCGUUGCCCCCCCAUCUACUCCUUCGGGAUUGCGGGGGGCGGAUGAUGGCCUCCCGUGCGCCUCGUCGCGCGGUUGGCAUAAAUGCCAAGUCCUCGGCGACGCACGCCACGUCAAUCGGUGGUUGCGAAACCUCGGUUGCCCGUCGUGUGCGGUCGUCGCGCAUCGAGGGCUCGAAAAAAUUGCCGGGCUCCGGCUCGGCUUUCAACGCGACCCCUGGUCAGGCGGGGUUACCCGCUGAAUUUAAGCAUAUCAUAAGCGGAGGA
rnacentral:misc_RNA from 1 species